CAAUGGAGGUGCUGGUUUGGCUACAAGAUAUUCCAUUAUAGUCAGAAGUGAAAGGUCAUGACAUUCAUUUAAUUGUUAAAAUAUACUCUCAUUUUCAAUGACAUGUAUUUUAAAUAAAUAUACUUUAUUAUAAAAAUAAAUCUGAAAUAAUAGGACUAUUCUAAUGUAGCAAGGUCAAAAAAACACAUCUAUUUAGUUUGAAUUAUUAGAAGUAUAUUAAAUUUACAUUUAUAUACACAACACUGUUUUGUUUUGCUCACUAGAAUCAUAAUAUACUUCAUGAUUUUAUUACUUUUUAGUAUGUGGCCAGUUACAUACAUUGUUAGUCAUCCCUAAAGCAUUUACUCAGCAGUUACUGUACAUAGCACUGAAUUUAGUAAUGUAUAAGACAUAGUACUUUCUUUGGGGAAGUAACAAUCUAGAACAACAAAUAAGACAAACAAGUAUGAAAAUGAUAUUAUAAAGUAGUAUGAGAAUGUAUUGAAAUAGGAAUACAGAAAAUAGUGCUAUAAAGUAAAAUAAUGGUUAAUAUUUACUCCAGAAGCUGAAAUCACUAAACUGCAUGAUAGAACUAAAAGGGACCUUAGACACCAUCUAGUCUGACACUUUAAUUUUAUAGCUGAAGAGACCUUUGCUAACAAAUUAAAUGACUUAUCUAAAGCAACAAAUCUCAUAAGUGGCAGAAUGGAACUAGAACUCUGGCAUCUACAGUCUUGGCUCAAUGUAAUUGUAAAAAAAGAUGUGACCUUAGGAGAAGGGAAGAGUUGCAAGGGAAAGGGACUUGAGGUAGGGAAUACAACAGAUUCAAAACACGAUCAGUUUAGUUGCAGCAAAGCAUUUGUGUUGAAAACUGGUAGAACAUAGGAUUGAAGGAACAAGGGUUGAUGUCAUGGAGAACUUGGAAUGCCAGGCUGAGUUUAGACAAUGGGAAUCCCUAGAGGGUUUGGGUAGUGACAUGAUGAAACUGCUUUAUAAUAAGAUUAAUUCUGGGGUAGAACUUAGUGUAGAAAAUGUAGAAGGUAAGGCAGUGAUUUUAGUAGUCCAGAUGUGCAGUAAAGGCAAGGUAAAUAGAAAAGAGAGAGUUUUAUCAAAUGAGCUUGAUGUGAACAUGCCAGUGUCAUGAGGAUACCACUGUACAGUCUCCACACUGUAUCUGUGAACAUCAGGAUGAUCUCUACAAAACAGCAAUCAAAAUUUACAUUAACUGACUUAUAAAACAAAAGUUAACAGAAGACUUCUGCAACCCUAUGCAGAUACAACCGUGAUGCUUUUGGAUUCCUUAAGAUGAAGGUUUGGGACCUUAAAACAUUUGUGGUGCUAUCUGAAGGAAUGAGAACACAAAGAAGGAAAGUCUUAAGUGCCAGCUCUGGCAUUAAAACAGCUGCAAAAAUACAAGAACUAUAGUGCCUACUCAUAUUUCCUUUUUUUCUCUGUAAAUAUUCAUAUAUUUUAACUAAUUUUCUCUUUCCUCUCUUACCUUUAUUAUUUUUAUAGGUUAACUAUAUCAUUGAGUCCACAAAUUGUAUAAUACUGAUAUAGGAUAAAUUAAACUAGUGGAAAAAUGAACAUGACCUUGAAAUGGAGCCAGGUGUGGUAACUAAAUCAACUUAGGAUCAUCACCCUUUGGGGAAGAGGAUGAUCACCUUUUUGGCUGUAUAGUGAAGAUUUGCAUUAGGUUAGGCUGGAACAUUUUUUUAAAAAACAGUAAUUAUGGGAAGAAAGGUGUAUACGCAUGCUGGACAGCCAAAUGGGUGGAUUGUAGGGAACAUGUGCCUUUUUUUCUUGGCUGAUGAGCAUUCAAACUCCUAUUUAGAGGAAAUGCCCUUUGUUUUACUGAAAAUAAGAGCUCUACCUCUUCUUACAGAAAGCAAGGGACUCUAGACAUUCUCUUUUCCUAGGAGAGUUAGCCAUUAUUCAAAGCUGAGGAGUUGAGAGUCUGCGUUGGUGACAUAUAGCAAAACCCAAACUAAUGUUCCUGUGGUGUGACCCUGACUGUGUUCUCUAUCCUGACUUCUUUUGUUUUCUGCUCAUUUUCUAAGUCUGAUUCUCCCAUCUUCCUGACAGUUAUGUGAGAUACUAAAUAUUCUUCCAAUAAAUUUCGC
rnacentral:lncRNA from 1 species